AUUGAACGCUGGCGGCAUGCCUUACACAUGCAAGUCGAACGGCAGCACGGGAGCAAUCCUGGCGGCGAGUGGCGAACGGGUGAGUAAUAUAUCGGAACGUGCCCAGUCGUGGGGGAUAACGCAGCGAAAGCUGUGCUAAUACCGCAUACGCGCUAAGGAUGAAAGCGGGGGAUCGCAAGACCUCGCGCGAUUGGAGCGGCCGAUAUCAGAUUAGCUAGUUGGUGGGGUAAAGGCCCACCAAGGCGACGACCUGUAGCUGGUCUGAGAGGACGACCAGCCACACUGGAACUGAGACACGGUCCAGACUCCUACGGGAGGCAGCAGUGGGGAAUUUUGGACAAUGGGCGCAAGCCUGAUCCAGCAAUGCCGCGUGCAGGAUGAAGGCCUUCGGGUUGUAAACUGCUUUUGUACGGAACGAAACGGCCCUUUCUAAUACAGGGGGCUAAUGACGGUACCGUAAGAAUAAGCACCGGCUAACUACGUGCCAGCCGCCGCAGUAACAC
rnacentral:rRNA from 1 species